AUUGAACGCUGGCGGCAUGCCUUACACAUGCAAGUCGAACGGCAGCACGGGUGCUUGCACCUGGUGGCGAGUGGCGAACGGGUGAGUAAUGCAUCGGAACGUACCCGGAAGUGGGGGAUAACGUAGCGAAAGUUACGCUAAUACCGCAUAUUCUGUGAGCAGGAAAGCGGGGGAUCUUCGGACCUCGUGCUUUCGGAGCGGCCGAUGUCGGAUUAGCUAGUUGGUGAGGUAAAGGCUCACCAAGGCGGCGAUCCGUAGCGGGUCUGAGAGGAUGAUCCGCCGCACUGGGACUGAGACACGGCCCAGACUCCUACGGGAGUCAGCAGUGGGGAAUUUUGGACAAUGGGGGCAACCCUGAUCCAGCCAUGCCGCGUGAGUGAAGAAGGCCUUCGGGUUGUAAAGCUCUUUUGUCAGGGAAGAAAUGGUCUGGGUUAAUACCCUGGGCAGAUGACGGUACCUGAAGAAUAAGCACCGGCUAACUACGUGCCAGCAGCCGCCGUAA
rnacentral:rRNA from 1 species